rnacentral:lncRNA from 1 species
AAUAGGAAUGGUGCUCUUAACAGGAGUGAGCAACUAUCAAAUAGACAAACAAAUGAAUUCAAAGACAAUCGACCUGUUUAUCUAAACCCCUGGAAUUUAAAAGCUGGAUUCCACAAUCAACAUUUGUCGAUGGUACGUUUUAAACCAACACCUUUAGUGAUAAAGCAAGAAAAUAUUCGAAAACUAACCUACCUACAGCUUUACAAGCUUGUGUGUCAGGUAACCGACAACUUGACUACUUUAAUGACAAGACAAAGGAUCACAACAUUAAAAACAGUCGAUACGAAAGGGCAAAAUAUGAUGAUCCUAUGGUAAAUCGAUUGAUAACAGUAAAGAAGACUCACAACUGAACCCCAGUAAGAAAAAGAAGUUCGCAUUCAGAGUUCGUCAAAUUUACGUCAUCAUAACACAUCCCAUGCAGAGACAUACGAUUAGACUGAGAUCAGUCAUAAACAGCAUGUACAUGUAUAUUAUCAACGAAUACUAACAAAGAAACAACAAAGACAAAUUAUAAAUGCCGACCAAAUUUGCCAGUUCGAAUAGCGGAAUUUAAAAUGUCAGGCGGCAAGGGGUUGAGUAUUGCUAACACAAACCGUUCACCCAAGAUAGAAACGUGUAGAACAAAAUACGAAAAUCAUGCUGACAUUUUCUUGCACAAUAUUGUUACAGGUGAAGACACAGGCCGUCUUUAAUUUGACCUUAUGUUUAUUGCUUUAAGGUACUACAUUCCAGGGAAUAGCUGAUACCCAUAUGCUG